UAGGUUUAAAUUCUAAAAAUAAUAAGAAAUUAUUCUAUAUUA
rnacentral:tRNA from 1 species